rnacentral:rRNA from 1 species
AUUGAACGCUGGCGGCAGGCCUAACACAUGCAAGUCGAGCGGAGCGGCUGACGGGUGAGUAAUUCCUAGGAAUCUGCCUGGUAGAGGGGGAUACCGUCCGGAAACGGGCGCUAAUACCGCAUACUAUCAGAUGAGCCUAGGUAGGAUUAGCUAGUUGGGGGGGUAAAGGCCUACCAAGGCGACGAUCCGUAACUGGUCUGAUAGGAGGAUCAGUCACACUGGAACUGGGACCCGGUCCAGACUCCUACGGGAGGCAGCAGUGGGGAAUAUUGGACUAUGGGCGAAAGCCUGAUCCAGCCUUGCCGCGUGUGUGUAGAAGGUCUUCGGAUUGUAAAGCUCAUUAAGUUAGGAGGCGUCACCAUCAGAAUGAGCACCGGCUACCUUCGGGCCAGCAGCCGCGGUAAUAC